rnacentral:rRNA from 1 species
AACGAACGCUGGCGGCAGGCUUAACACAUGCAAGUCGAGCGCCCCGCAAGGGGAGCGGCAGACGGGUGAGUAACGCGUGGGAAUAUACCUUUUGCUACGGAAUAACUCAGGGAAACUUGUGCUAAUACCGUCUGUGUCCUUCGGGAGAAAGAUUUAUCGGCAAGAGAUGAGCCCGCGUUGGAUUAGCUAGUUGGUGAGGUAAUGGCUCACCAAGGCGACGAUCCAUAGCUGGUCGGAGAGGAUGAUCAGCCACAUUGGGACUGAGACACGGCCCAAACUCCUACGGGAGGCAGCAGUGGGGAAUAUUGGACAAUGGGCGCAAGCCUGAUCCAGCCAUGCCGCGUGAGUGAUGAAGGCCCUAGGGUUGUAAAGCUCUUUCACCGGUGAAGAUAAUGACGGUAACCGGAGAAGAAGCCCCGGCUAACUUCGUGCCAGCCGCCGCGGUAA